rnacentral:rRNA from 1 species
UAAGCGGAGGAAAAGAAACCAACAGGGAUUACCUCAGUAACGGCGAGUGAAGCGGUAACAGCUCAAAUUUGAAAGCUGGCUCUUUUAGGGUCCGCGUUGUAAUUUGUAGAAGAUGCUUCGGGUGUGGCCCCGGUCUAAGUUCCUUGGAACAGGACGUCAUAGAGGGUGAGAAUCCCGUAUGUGACUGGGUGCCUUCGCUCAUGUGAAGCUCUUUCGACGAGUCGAGUUGUUUGGGAAUGCAGCUCAAAAUGGGUGGUAAAUUUCAUCUAAAGCUAAAUAUUGGCCAGAGACCGAUAGCGCACAAGUAGAGUGAUCGAAAGAUGAAAAGCACUUUGGAAAGAGAGUUAAACAGUACGUGAAAUUGUUGAAAGGGAAGCGCUUGCAACCAGACUUGCGCGCUGAUGAUCAUCCGGGCUUCUGCCCGGUGCACUCGUCUGCGCUCAGGCCAGCAUCGGUUUCGGUGGUGGGAUAAAGGCCUUGGGAAUGUAGCUCCUCUCGGGGAGUGUUAUAGCCCUCGGUGCAAUGCCGCCUACUGGGACCGAGGACCGCGCUUCGGCUAGGAUGCUGGCGUAAUGGUUGUAAGCGACCCGUCUUGAAACACGGACCAAGGAGUCUAACAUCUAUGCGAGUGUUUGGGUGUCAAACCCAUACGCGUAAUGAAAGUGAACGGAGGUGAGAACCCUUAAGGGUGCAUCAUCGACCGGUCCUGAUGUCUUCGGAUGGAUCUGAGUAAGAGCAUAGCUGUUGGGACCCGAAAGAUGGUGAACUAUGCGUGAAUAGGGUGAAGCCAGAGGAAACUCUGGUGGAGGCUCGCAGCGGUUCUGACGUGCAAAUCGAUCGUCAAAUUUGCGUAUAGGGGCGAAAGACUAAUCGAAA